AACGAACGCUGGCGGCAGGCCUAACACAUGCAAGUCGAGCGCGCCCUUCGGGGUGAGCGGCGGACGGGUGAGUAACGCGUGGGAACGUGCCCUUUUCUACGGAAUAGCCUCGGGAAACUGAGAGUAAUACCGUAUACGCCCUUUGGGGGAAAGAUUUAUCGGAAAAGGAUCGGCCCGCGUUGGAUUAGGUAGUUGGUGGGGUAAUGGCCUACCAAGCCGACGAUCCAUAGCUGGUUUGAGAGGAUGAUCAGCCACACUGGGACUGAGACACGGCCCAGACUCCUACGGGAGGCAGCAGUGGGGAAUCUUAGACAAUGGGGGCAACCCUGAUCUAGCCAGGCCGCGUGAGUGAUGAAGGCCUUAGGGUUGUAAAGCUCUUUCAGCUGGGAAGAUAAUGACGGUACCAGCAGAAGAAGCCCCGGCUAACUCCGU
rnacentral:rRNA from 1 species